GAUAUUGACGUUAUUGCUGAGAACGUAGUAAGAUUGCGGUAUGAACGUAGUAUAAUCGUGGUAAGAACGUGCUAUAAUCGCAGUAGAAGCGUGGUAAGAUCGUGUUGCAAUCGGAUAACUCGUGGAAUGGUCGUAGUGAGAACGUGAUGAUCGUAGAAAGAUCUUGACAAGCGUAGUGAGGUCGCAGAAUAAGCGCGGUGAGAACGUGGUAUAAUCGUAGUGGGAUCGUUG
rnacentral:lncRNA from 1 species